GAUGAACGCUGGCGGCGUGCCUAAUACAUGCAAGUCGAGCGAACAGACGAGGAGCUUGCUCCUCUGACGUUAGCGGCGGACGGGUGAGUAACACGUGGAUAACCUACCUAUAAGACUGGGAUAACUUCGGGAAACCGGAGCUAAUACCGGAUAAUAUAUUGAACCGCAUGGUUCAAUAGUGAAAGACGGUUUUGCUGUCACUUAUAGAUGGAUCCGCGCCGCAUUAGCUAGUUGGUAAGGUAACGGCUUACCAAGGCAACGAUGCGUAGCCGAACUGAGAGGGAGACCGGCCAGACUGGAACUGAAACACGGUCCAGACCCUGGCGGGGGGCAGCAGUAGGGAAUCUUCCGGAAUGGGGGAAAGCGUGACGGGGCAGAACCGCGGAAGUGAUGAAGGUCUUCGGAUCGUAAAACGCUGUUAUUAGGAAAGAAAAAGAGGGUAAGUAACUAUGCACGUCUUGACGGUACCUAAUCAGAAAGCCACGGCUAACUACGUG
rnacentral:rRNA from 1 species